CUGAUUUCUGGAAGUGAAUAAUCCUGAAUGUUACAUUUAGGAAGCUGCAUGUAUAGAUAUGCAUAUCAAGUUUAUUUUUUUUUCCUUUGAGGGAUUUUAAUUCUCUAAAAUGUUAUCCCUGUUACAUUUUAACCUUUGUUCCCUUAGGACACAGUAGUGUUUAGUAGUUGUAUUCAUUUUAUGUGUUACCUCAGUUAAAUUUCAAUCCUUCAUUCAUAUUUAAACUUUUGCUGUGGUAAUCCCUUUUCUUAAAUCCUUUUCUCCCAAAACUGCAAAUGUUUUCACAGCAGUUGCUCUUAAAACUUCCAAAAUGAACUAAAUCUGUCCACCAGCUUUGAAACAACACCUGCUGUGACUUUAUGUCCAGAAAAAAGAAACUCAAUCUAAACUGGUUUUGGGCUGUACUUCCAUGUAAUGCCAGUUUGUACCAGAAGAUGAAGCAGUGAGUCAGUGUAACAUUUAUUUAAUUAGGCAAAGAACACAUUCGUUUUCACAGUGGCAGCAAAGAAAUGUUGAAAGUUAAAAACAGCAGCACACAUCAGGACCAUUUUAAAGAUCACAGGUGACUUUUACUUAAUUCAAAUUCCUUCAAAUUUUUGGCUCCUCCUUUCACUUUAGUGUAUUUACUGUAUCCUUGAAGUCCACAUGUUGUUUUUUUAAUGAAUUCAUUUUGAUCCACAUGUUCUGCGGCUGUCUUCCUGUUGAUUUGAAGUUUGUAUUAUGAAAUCCUGAUAAUGUUAAAGCGUUAGUUAAAUUUAAUGAACUCUGUGUAAAGUUUGUCUUAUUAAACAGUUUGGUGUGAAAAAUUAAGAAAUGGUCUCAGAACAAGUAGUUUGAGCCCUGAUUUCAGAUUCAAACUAAUUUAACUGUUUUCAGUGGUACAUGUGGAGGUUUAUCAGAGGAGGCGACUUGGCUGUUCUCCACUCACGCAGCACAGGGUUCCUGCAGCUCAUUAAAAACUCUGAAAUGAGGACAAAAAUAUUGUUUCAUAAUAAAUAUUUGAUAUUUAUUAUGAACAUUCACCAUUAAAGACAGGAUGUUAGGAAAAGGACAACAUUUUCUCUCCAAGUUAAACAGAGAUUUGCAAACUGUCUGUAGGUAACAACUUAACAUAUUAAUUUACUUUUUACAUUAUUUCCUUCAAGAAAUCGAGCUGCUGGUAGCCAUGUGCUCAUCGUGUGUCACAGGACCAAGAAAGCCUCAUUAAAAAGCAAAGAUCGAUGGUCGCGUUUUAUAUCAUCCACCCUUUAGUCCUAUUAUUUUUAAGUAGGUUUUUAUUAGAAUUUAAACAUUUAAAUCACUUUAUGUUCAAGAAUCUGUUCCUUUCUGCUGAUAUUAAAAUCAUUAACUAGUAUUCAGGGACUAGUCUACAGAAAACACAUAACUAACCUCUUCACCUCUUCUCUCCUUUUUUACUGAAAAGUUAUAAAGUUUGAUGAAACUCCAAAACCUCUUAAUAUAAAGUCUGGAACUCUUUUGCUAGAUUGAUAGAACUUUAUUAAUCCCUCAGGUAGGUUCCUCCAGGAAAUUCAGUUUCUAAUUAAUUGCAGGUUCUCCCACCUCUCCUUCUCCAUCAGCCUCCACUGCCUCCCUUUCCUCCCCCUUUUCCUCUCCUCCUCUCUCUGUGAUGGUGUGUUCUCUCCAUAACUGGGUUGCUGCUGCUGGUCAUACUGCUACUAGUGCUGAGACGAUGCAUCCAGAGAAAAACUGGAGUGAGUGAUGCUGUGACAGCUGCCACCUCUUCAUCAGUGAGAAGAACAUCAGCAGAUGAUGGAAAUGGGUCAAAGAUGAUGAGAGAGAGCGAUCCAGCGGCAGUUUAUUCUUCAGUGCACAGAACAUCUGACAUCAACUAUGCACAGAUCCCCAUCAAGAUGAACUGCAGACAGAGAGAUCUUCCACCAGAGCCAGCGGUCAUCUACUCCUCACUGAAGCUGAGCCACACACCUACACCACAGUGUAACCAGUCUAACCAGUGAUGUCCAGCUGGCUGCCAAACACAUCCCUGCACUCCUCUCUAUAUUAUUUAUUUAACCACAUUCUGUGUGUGUUUACAGUUGUACAGCUGCACUGAAACAGUUUGAAUGUAGAUCUCAGGAUGAAGUG